rnacentral:rRNA from 1 species
GAUGAACGCUGGCGGCGUGCCUAAUACAUGCAAGUCGAGCGAACAGAUGAGAAGCUUGCUCCUCUGACGUUAGCGGCGGACGGGUGAGUAACACGUGGAUAACCUACCUAUAAGACUGGGAUAACUUCGGGAAACCGGAGCUAAUACCGGAUAAUAUAUUGAACCGCAUGGUUCAAUAGUGAAAGACGGUUUUGCUGUCACUUAUAGAUGGAUCCGCGCCGCAUUAGCUAGUUGGUAAGGUAACGGCUUACCAAGGCAACGAUGCAUAGCCGACCUGAGAGGGUGAUCGGCCACACUGGAACUGAGACACGGUCCAGACUCCUACGGGAGGCAGCAGUAGGGAAUCUUCCGCAAUGGGCGAAAGCCUGACGGAGCAACGCCGCGUGAGUGAUGAAGGUCUUCGGAUCGUAAAACUCUGUUAUUAGGGAAGAACAAAUGUGUAAGUAACUGUGCACGUCUUGACGGUACCUAAUCAGAAAGCCACGGCUAACUACGUG